GAAGUCGCCCUGCAAGGCGUGUGUGUGAUCGCGCACCUGCCGGGGAUGGGGAAACGUGGGGUGAUGGAGUGAACAACGGCCACCCAGAGAGAGCAGGUCCUAAUUCCUAGAGCCUGGAAAUGUCACCUUCUAUGGAAGAGAUCUGUAGGAAUGAUCAGGGGAAGGAUUUGGAGAGAAGGUUAUCCUCGAUUAUCUGGGCAGGUCCUGCAUG
rnacentral:lncRNA from 10 species